UGAGUACGAGAUGCUACGGCAUCGAAGCAGUCUAUGUCAUACUUCCAAGAAAAGCUUGCAAUGUCAUAAACAAAUAAUGCCUGUACCAUAACCGACACAGGUGGGUAGGUAGAGUAUACUAAGGGGCGCGAGAUAACUCUCUCUAAGGAACUCGGCAAAAUGACUCCGUAACUUCGGGAGAAGGAGUGCCUUAUUUUUAUAAGGUUGCAAUAACAAGAUCCAAGCAACUGUUUACCAAAAACACAGGUCUCCGCUAAGUCGUAAGACGAUGUAUGGGGGCUGACGCCUGCCCAGUGCCAGAAGGUUAAAGAAGUUGGUUAGCAUUAGCGAAGCUGAUAACUGAAGCCCUGGUGAACGGCGGCCGUAACGAUAACGGUCCUAAGGUAGCGAAAUUCCUUGUCGGGUAAGUUCCGACCCGCACGAAAGGCGUAAUGAUUUGGAUACUGUCUCGGAGAGGGGCUCGGUGAAAUAGACUUGUCUGUGAAGAUGCGGACUACCUGCACCUGGACAGAAAGACCCUAUGAAGCUUUACUGUAACUUGAGAUUGAAAUUGGACUUUAUCUGCGCAGUAUAGGUGGGAGACGUUGAAAAUAUUCUUGCGGGAAUAUUGGAGUCAUCAGUGAGAUACCACUCUUAUAAUGUUAGAUUUCUAACCUUGUAUCAUUAUCUGGUCAAAGAACAGUUUCAGGCGGGCAGUUUGACUGGGGCGGUCGCCUCCCAAACGGUAACGGAGGCGCACAAAGGUUUCCUCUGAACGUGUAGAAAUCGUAUCUAGAGUGUAAAGGCAUAAGGAAGCUUGACUGUGAGACCUACAAGUCGAGCAGGGACGAAAGUCGGUCUUAGUGAUCUGACGGUGCUGAGUGGAAAGGCCGUCACUCAACGGAUAAAAGUUACUCUAAGGAUAACAGGCUGAUCUCCCCCAAGAGUUCACAUCGACGGGGAGGUUUGGCACCUCGAUGUCGGCUCAUCGCAUCCUGGGGCGGUAGUACGUCCCAAGGGUUGGGCUGUUCGCCCAUGAAAGCGGUACGCGAGCUGGGUUCAGAACGUCGUGAGACAGUUCGGUCAUAUCCGGUGUAGGCGUUAGAAUAUUGAGAGGAGCCUUCUUUAGUACGAGAGGACCGAGAAGGACUUACCUCUGGUGUACCAGUUAUCGCGCCAACGGUAAACGCUGGGUAGCCAUGUAUGGAGAGGAUAACCGCUGAAAGCAUCUAAGUGGGAAGCCCACCUCAAGAUAAGUAUUCUCU
rnacentral:rRNA from 1 species